AGUCCCCAGACAAGUGUUCUCACCUCCAAACAAUACAGAAGAAACUGAUGGGCAAAUAUUUACAUGGUGCAUCAAGUUGCGCACAAUGUCCCACAGACGUAUUACGCCAUGCCAGAUCCGCCUUGUCUUUUGGAUCCACGAGAUCUAUACAGGCCCUGCAUCAUGUUGGUGGUGGUCCAUGAUAAGGUCAGAUAAUAUAAUGGCAUUAUCACAGACCAAUAGCUCGAAUGUCUGCCGUCUCAGUGGCACCGAGCCUUGACACCGUGUGAGUCAGACUGAGACUGAGACAUAUCAUGAUUCUCUGUUACAUCACAGGCAAGUUGUUGACAUUCUCCACGUGCAUGGUGCAGCGUUAGUGACAGCCUUCGUGUCUUGCACAGCACGGCUCAACUUUUUAUCAACCAGUUUGAGAAAAGAAUGUUCAACUUUGAUAGAGAUGCUUAUCGCUGUGAUUCGUUUGGAAGGAGCCUUCUGCCGUGGAAAUAGGGAGACAAGAUUCUUAUCACCUUGUAAUGUGAAUAAAAUUUGAGAUGUU